GGUCUCACUCUGUAGCCCAGGCUGGAGCGCGAUCUCAGCUCACAGCUCACUGCAGCUUUGCCUCCCAGGUUCAAACGAUUCUCCUGCUUCAGCCUCUCGAGUAGCUGGGAUGACAGGCAUGAGCCAUUGCACCAGACCGACUUGUCUCAAAAAAAAAAAAAAAAAAAAAAAGGAUCUAGGCUUCCUUAUUACUAUCUGAAGAAAUAAUUACGUUUGCUUCUUUCCAAAUUUGGCAGUAACUAAACUUAAACAUUUUUUUUUUUUUGAGACAGAGUCUUGCUCUGUCGCCCAGGCUGGAGUGCAGUGGCUGGAUCUCACCUCACUGCAAGCUCUGCUUCCCGGGUUCCCGCCAUUCGCCUGCCACAGCCUCCUGAGUAGCUGGGACUACAGGCGCCGGCCACCUCACCCGGUAAUUUUUUGUAUUUUUUAGUAGAGACAGGGUUUCACUGUGUUAGCCAGGAUGGUCUUGAUCUCCUAACCUCACGAUCCGCCCAUCUCGGCCUCCCAGAGUGCUGGGAUUACAGGAAUGAGCCACCGCACCCGGCCAACAAAAAUCUUUUGAAGCACAUUUGCUUUUGCAGUUAGCCUGUUGGUCUCCAGAGUUCCUGUACUGCUGUGCCCAUGAUGGCCGCCAAAGCUGCACCCAUGGUGACUCUUCCUGCUGAAGCAAAGCCCCGCAGGACAAUAAGGGUCAGGAAUCUGGGAGCGGCUCGACUGGACCGUUUAGUCUCUUGGACUGGACGAGCUUGCAGUCCAGCUGAUUGAUGGCCAGGGCUGUGGUCGUCUGAAGCUUGACUGGUGCUGGAGGACCUGCAUCGCGUCCAGGGUGGAGAACUCAUGCAGCUGCUGCCAGGAGGCCUCAGCUCCUCGUCACGUGGGCCCUUCCCUAGAGCCAGUGACCAGAGGGCAGGAGCCACAGCCUUUUCUAUCCUCAACUCAGAAUUGACCGUCACCUCUGCCAAAUUGGUCGCCAAAACCCACCCUUGGACAAUGUGGGAGGGACUGGCUGGGGUGUGAGUAUCCGGUGACGGGGUCAUGGAGGGCCAGCUGGGCUGCUGAGCAUAUUGAUGAUUGUAUUGAGAUCUGCUCAGCAAGACGUAUCCAGGCAGCUCCUUAUGGCUCCUGACCAUGUGGACCAGGCCCAGGCCCAGCCUUCACAGCCACACUGAUCAACUCAGGAACAGAAAGUCAAACCUGUUAAGUCCGUCCUCUCGAUUUGUAUUUGGAGAAGAGACUUUGCCUUUCGGGUCCCAGAGCUAGAAGGGUGAACUGUGAAGAGAGCUGUUAGCAUCUUUCCACCUGGCGAGGAAGCCAGCCACGGCUGAAGAGGACCAGGCCCACAGAGUGGAAAAGAAGGCAGGAGAUGAGCGUCCCAGAGCCAGGCCUGUGUCCCUAGAUCCAGUCCCUCGAAGGGGCUCCCUUUCAUUUCCUCGUCAUGAGCCAAUCCCCUUUUUACUAUGUUGCCUGUCUAAGUCCAUUAGCUACUGGGCUGCUCACACUGGCCAGAGGCCUGGGGACCUUCCUGAACAUCCCUGGCAAGGCUUCAGAAGCCUCAUAUGGGUCCAGCUACUAGGAAAGAAGGAUCAUCUCUGGGCAUCAAUUUAUAGCCUAUUCCUAAAAGUAACUAGUUUGAGGUGUCUCUGGUCCCAGGGAGAAUUCCUUAGGGGAAUGAGACGCUAUUUGAAGCGAGAAAAGGUUUGCUAGUCUGUGGCUGGUCUCCCAGUUUUAUUUUUAUUUAUUUAUUUUUUGAGACAGAGUUUCACUCGUUGCCCAGGCUGGAGUGCAAUGGUGCAUUCUUGGCUCACCACUGCAACCUCCAUCUCUGGGGUUCAAGUGAUUCUCCUGCCUAGUCUCCCAAGUAGCUGGGAUUACUGGCGCCUGCCACCAAGACUGGGUAAUUUUUAUAGUUUUUAGUAGAGAUGGGGUUUCACCAUGUUGGUCAGGCUGGUCUCGAACCCCUGACCUCAGGUGAUCUGCCUGCCUCGGCCUCCCAAAGUGCUGGGAUUGUAGAUGUGAGCCACUGCACCUGGCCUGGUCUCCCAGUUUUGAAUGUGCCAUGUAGCCAACAGGAUGCUAUGUUUGCUUGUCUCUGGGAUACAGCCAGUCAUCAGAUGGUUGUGUCUUCACCGUUUCAUUCCCAGCCAGCCACUGUCAGCUGAACUGCUCCCUGAUGCCUGCUGGACAGAACCUGGAGUCUCCCUUGAGGAUGGCGGUCUCAUGCCAUCAGGCCUUAUCAUUAGGUGACAGGUUAUCACUGGCUUGUGGCCGUUGGAGGUUCUCAGCACAUCAGCAGUGGAUCUGCUGCUCGGGAGUUUCCCAUGAACCACAUUGGAAUUUUGACAGCCACAGCUAACAGGGAAGAGGCUCGGUGACCAGUGACACAUCCCGGCCUUUUCUGCCAACACCUAAAAGAAACUCUACUUGGCUGGGUGCGGUGGCUCACGCCUGUAAUCCCAGCACUUUGAGAGGCUGAGGGAGGUCGAUCACUUGAGGUCAGGAGUUCGACACCAGCCUUGCCAACAUGGUGAAACCCCAUUGCUACUAAAAAAAUGCAAAAAAAAAAAAAAAAAAAAAAAAAAAAA
rnacentral:lncRNA from 1 species